AGCGAACGCUGGCGGCAGGCCUAACACAUGCAAGUCGAACGAAGUCUUCGGACUUAGUGGCGGACGGGUGAGUAACACGUGGGAACGUACCUUUUGGUUCGGAACAACUCAGGGAAACUUGAGCUAAUACCGGAUGAGCCCUUAGGGGGAAAGAUUUAUCGCCGAAAGAGCGGCCCGCGUUAGAUUAGCUAGUGGGUGAGGUAAAGGAUCACCAAGGCUACGAUCUAUAGCUGGUCUGAGAGGAUGAUCAGCCACACUGGGUCUGAGACACGGCCCAGACUCCUACGGGAGGCAGCAGUGGGGAAUCUUGCGCAAUGGGCGAAAGCCUGAUGCAGCCAUGCCGCGUGAAUGAUGAAGGUCUUAGGAUUGUAAAAUUCUUUUACCAGGGACGAUAAUGACGGUACCUGGAGAAAAAGCCCCGGCUAACUUCGUGCCAGCCGCCGCGGUAAUAC
rnacentral:rRNA from 1 species